rnacentral:rRNA from 1 species
AUUGAACGCUGGCGGCAGGCCUAACACAUGCAAGUCGAACGAGGGGCGGACGGGUGAGUAAUGUAUGGGAAAGUGCCAGAGGGAGGGGGAAAACUACGGGAAAAGGUAGCUAAUAGCGCAUACCAUAGGAUGUGCACAGAUGGGAUUAGCUAGUAGGUGGGGUAACGGCUCACCUAGGCGACGAUCCCUAGCUGGUCUGAGAGGAUGACCAGCCACACUGGAACUGAGACACGGUCCAGACUCCUACGGGAGGCAGCAGUGGGGAAUAUUGCACAAUGGGCGCAAGCCUGAUACAGCCAUGCCGCGUGUAUGAAGAAGGCCUUCGGGUUGUAAAGUACUUUCAGCGAGGAGGCGUUACUCGCAGAAGAAGCACCGGCUAACUCCGUGCCAGCAGCCGCGGUAAUUC